GUAGGGAAUCUUCCACAAUGGACGAAAGUCUGAUGGAGCAACGCCGCGUGAGCGAUGAAGGCCUUCGGGUCGUAAAGCUCUGUUGUUAGGGAAGAACAAGUACCGGAGUAACUGCCGGUACCUUGACGGUACCUAACCAGAAAGCCACGGCUAACUACGUGCCAGCAGCCGCGGUAAUACGUAGGUGGCAAGCGUUGUCCGGAAUUAUUGGGCGUAAAGCGCGCGCAGGCGGUCCUUUAAGUCUGAUGUGAAAGCCCACGGCUCAACCGUGGAGGGUCAUUGGAAACUGGGGGACUUGAGUGCAGAAGAGGAAAGCGGAAUUCCACGUGUAGCGGUGAAAUGCGUAGAGAUGUGGAGGAACACCAGUGGCGAAGGCGGCUUUCUGGUCUGUAACUGACGCUGAGGCGCGAAAGCGUGGGGAGCAAACAGGAUUAGAAACCCCGGUAGUCC
rnacentral:rRNA from 1 species